rnacentral:lncRNA from 1 species
GGGGGUCCAUUUUCCUAUGGGACCUCCUUUACCCAUUCUUACCUAUGGUGACUUGGGAUGAAAAACACACCCAACGUGUCACCUUCUUCAGAAUUCUUGGAAAAAAAGAGAGCUUGCUGUUAUUAAACUGUAUGUGGCAAAAGAAAAACAAAGUCAGCAUUGUUCACUUGGACAUGAAAUUUAUUGUUGUAGGCAUCUUGUGUUGCUCUAAAAGAUCCUGAGGCUGAAUAACUUAUAAAGAAAAAAGGUUAUUUGGCUCACAAUUCUGAAGGUCAGAAAAUUCAAGAUUGGAUGCCUGCAUCUGGAGAGGGCCUGCUUUCACUCACAAUGGAAGGGAGAAGAACAAAAGAGAAGAGGAACAGAACCUUGGGAGAUACUGAGACUCCAGGGAGGAAGAAGAAGCAAUACCAAAGAAGUAGCACGGGAAAGAAAAAACAAAUCAGUACGACUGAUUUAACAUAUGACAGAAAGCCUGGAAUCUACCUUUCUUAGACUCACUUACUAGCAGUUACUGGUUUAGGUUUUGCCAGUGAGAAACUCGUGUGUGAGACUUGGAAGGUGAACAAGAAGAAGAAGCCAUUGAUCUUCAGUGGGAGCUGCAGGCAGCUAUAUGGGCAUUGGAGAUGGCAGUGAACACAUGUUAAGUACUGUCAGUAGAGGAUGCAGGAGAGACAUUGAGAGAGGAUGAAGGAUUCUUCUAAUUCUGUACACCUGCCAAAGUCUCACCUCAGCUGCCUGCCUAGAAAGGCUGCUUCCCAUGACCCUCUCUACCUGAAGACCACAUGUUCUAAUUCUCAUGCAAAAGCCCCAUCCUCACUCCCUCUUUAUACAUUCACUUAUGAACUGUGGCUCUCUGCCACCUCAUUUCCUGCUUGCCCAGCGACCAUGGACCAGCUCUGAUCUGAGUGUCCUAGGAAACUUCUCUGGAGGUUGCAACUACACCUUCUCCAACAAGACCUGAACCCCACCUUGGAAUCCCCACUUCAACCUUGUCCUUCAUUGCAUCAUUUCCCUGAGCCCUAGGCUAACCAGCAGAGUUCUCUUUACAUCCUUAUAUUUACUUCCCUGCCAUAUUUAAUAAUUCUUUACAUUAAAAAGUUCCUGUUCAAAUUACUAUGAUUUCUUUUUCCUGAUUGAAUUUAGAUGGAUAUAUCCUCUUCAUAAUAAAUUCCAUUUCUCUUGGACUAAUUUGAAUGAAUGUCUGUUUCUUUUGAUCACGAAAACUGGCUACAAAUAGGCAGGACACAACAACUGAGUUUCCUCUGUUUGAGAUUCUUGCCCUUGUCCUUUGACUCUCACAGAAUUUUAUGAAAUUGACCUCAGUGCCUACAACUGACUGCACAUGACAAAAUGCAGAACACUUAGAUUUGAUGAACACAAGGCUUGACAUAUUUGUCAAUAGUACCAGGAAUAGUUUUGCAUACUAUAAUAUUUAACAGCCACAGGAGAA